rfam:Oryza glaberrima chromosome 5 Oglab05_0141_13, whole genome shotgun sequence.
UUUAAGUGCAACCAUAAUUUUACGUACCCACUUUUAACCGUCCGUUUUAUUUAAAAAAGUUUUAUAAUUAAUAUUUUUAUUGUUAUGAGAUGAUAAAAUAUAAAUAAUAUUUUAUAUGUGAACUUCUGUUUUCAAUUUUUUUACGCAUGCAUGCCAUGCGUGACAGAAACGAAAAAUUAUAUGUGCGUCAUAGUUUCAUCUUUG